rnacentral:lncRNA from 1 species
GGCUGCGCAUGCAGCAUACGGAAGGUCCCAGGCUACGGGUCUAAUUGGAGGUGUAGCCACCAGCCUACAUCAGAGCCAUAGCAAUGUGGGAUCUACCUCUUCUUAAUCACAGAAAAAUCUCAAAAAAAUGAGAAUUAAUUAACACCUUUAAAUGUAUUUAUGUAUUUGGACAAAAUAAUUGCCAACAUUCAAAAGAGAAUCAAAGGCCACUAAAUAUUGUUUGUAUUUUAAAAAGUAUUUCUCUCUCAAGACAAACCAUUUUACAUACACAAGCCUUUUCCUUUUAAAACAAUGCAGAAAUAAAAUUAAAAUAUACAUAAUUAAUUCAGCAUAUAAACACAGCAGAGACUAUAAAUAUUCAUAAUCUAAAAAUUUUACAGAGCAUUGCAGUAAACAGAACCUAAAAUGAGUCAACAUGAUUUGUUUUACCAUUAAUCUCAUAAAAUGAAAACAAAAAAGAAGUAAUUUACAAUAUGGGUUGCAUUUUUCAGCAUCCAAAUCUCAUAACAUCAAUCGCUUCAUUAAAUAAGAGAAUAAUAUUAUAAUUAUGGAAAACAGAAAACUAAUUCCUUCAAAAAAGUCUGUGGGUCUCCUAUGUGAAUAACAUGGCCCCAGGCUUUAAUGGGGGGUGAGAAGUGAAUUAGAAAUUAUCUCCGCUUUUAGAGUAGCAUAUGCAAAUGAAGACUCCAUAUUCAUCCAGACUUUUGAGUGACCCUAGUAUAAAGAUAACAAGAACUUUUCAGAUAUAAAGUUUUUGUUUUUAAUGAGUGUUAGUGCUUUUACUUUGGUUUGGAGAAGCACUAUUCUGAAAAUUUCAAGGUACAGAUACUGCUGUCAUCUCUGCAGGCAAGACGACUAUGAGUUCACCCUAAAAUUGAAGGACCUUCAGGUGAAGGAACUCAUUCCAGGAACCUGAAGGCUCUUUUGGGAAGGAAUCCAUCUCAGGAAGAAUGUUGUGAUGCAUAUGAUUGAUUCAAUCAAAAAUCAGCACAGAACUGCCCCUAGGCUGUCUCUCUGUCUAUCUCAUGUUUGCCGAGGAAGUCCAAGCAAACUGAGGGAGCUGAGUAUCCAGAAGAAAACUGCGAUCUUCACAAAAUCCAUUUGCACAAUGGUGGUGGUGAUUAUCAGCCUCCCUUUCAGCCCCCCUGGCCAGCUCAGCCCUCUCUUUCUACUCCUCAUCCUCUCCUCACUUUCAUGUGAGGACUUGUCUCUGCUGAAGCAACCACUAAUGUUCCUCAUGCAGGAAAGAUCUUCCCAAGGAGUCCUGGCCCCCUGAGAAAGGAGGGCUUGAGUAAAUCCACAUAUUGGAGAGUUAAAGAGAGACAGGAGCGUCACAGAGUAUGAAAGCUAUCUAGAGGCUCUCUUUGGGAUUGGAAAGAGUUGGGGCAGAGCAAGCUGGUCAGGGGAAGAAAGGAGAAUCAAGACAGAGCAGGCUGGCCAUGGGAAGCUCUAAGGAGCAUGAAUCUUUCAGAAAGAAAAAGGAAGGGGGAGAAAGGAAGGGAAAACAGCAACAGUGUCAUUUAAGAGACUCACUCAAGCAAUGGAUAUUUCUUAAAGAUUCUCUUUUGGCUUGUAACUGCUAUUCUUUUUUUAAUUUUUUAUUAUAGUUGAUCUAUAAUGUUAUUUCAAUUUCUGCUGUACAGCAAAGUGACCCAGUUAUACAUAUAUAUACACACACAUAUAUACAUACACACACACACACACACACACACACACACACACACACACAUUCUUUUUCUCACAUUAUCCUCCAUUAUGUUCCAUUACAAAUGAUUGGGUACAGUUCCCUGUACUAUACAGCAGUACCUCAUUGCUUAUCCACUCCAAAUGCAACAGUUUGCAUCUAUUAACCCCAAACUCCCAAUCCAUCCCACUCCCUGCCCCCCUCAACCUUUGGCAAUCACGAAUUUGUUCUUCAUGUUCAUGAGUUUGUUUUUUUCUGUAGAUAGUUUCACUCAUGCCAUACAUUAGAUUCCAGAUGUAAGUGAUAUCAUAUGAUAUUUGUCUUUAUGUUUCUGAUUUACUUCACUUAGUAUGAGAAUCUCUAGUUUCAUCCAUGUUGCUGCAAAUGGCGUUGUUUCAUUCUUUUAUAUGGCUGAGUAGUAUUCCAUUGUGAAUAUAUACAACAUCUUCUUAAUCCAUUCAUCUGUCAAUGGAUAUUUAGGUUGUUUACAUGUCUUGGCUAUUGUGAACAUUGCUACUGUUCAUAGGGGUGCACAUAACUUUUUCAAUGAAAGUUUUGUCUGGAUAUAUGGCCAAGAGUGGCAUUGCUAGGUCAUAUGGUAGUUCUAUAUUCAGUUUUCUGAGGAAUCUCCAUACUGUCGAAUUGUACCAAUUUAUAUUCCCACCAACAGUGUAGUAAGGUUACCUUUUCUCCACAUCCUCUCCAGCAUUUGUUAUUUGUGGACUUAUUAAUAAUGGCCAUUCUGACUGGUGUGAGGUGGUAUCUCAUUGUAGUUUUGAUUUGCAUUUCUCUUAUAAUUAGUGAUGUUGAGCAUUUUUACAUGUGCCUAUUGACCAUCCAUAUGUCUUCUCUGGAGAAAUGUCUAUUUAAGUCUUCUGGUCAUUUUUCAAUUGGCUUGUUUGUUUUUUUGCCGGAUGAGUUAUUUGUAUAUUUUGGAGAUCAAGCAUUUGCAACUAUUUUCUCCCAUUUUUAUAGGUUGGCUUUUUUUUAGGGUUUCCUUUGUUGUGCAAAAGCUUGUAAGUUUGAUUAGGUCCCAUUGGUUUAUUUUUGCUUUAAUUUCCAUUGCCUUGGGAGACUGACCUAAGAAAACAUUUGUACGGUUGAUGUCAGAGAAUGUUUUGCCUAUGUUCUCUUCUAGGAGUUUUAUGGUGUCCUGUGCUAUGCGUGUUUUUUUUUGUUUUGUUUUGUUUUUCUUUUUAGGGCUGCACCUGUGGCAUAUGGAGUUUCCCAGGCUAGGGGUAGAAUUGGAGCCACAGCUGCCAGCCUACACCACAGCUCACAGCAACACAGUUUCAGAGCUGCAACUGCAACCUAUGCUACAGCUCAUGGCAAUGCCAGAUCUUUAACCCCCUGAGUGAGGCCAGGGAUCGAACUGGCAACAUCAUGGUUCAUACUCAGAUUUGUUUCCACUGUGCCAAGAGGGGAACUCCAAGUUUAAGUCUUUAAUCCAUUUUAAGCUUAUUUUUGUACAUGAGUUGAGGGUAUGUUCUAGUUUCAUUGAUUUACAUGCAGCUGUCUGGCUGUGUAACUUGUAUUCUUGAAUAGAAAAUGGUGUUCACAGAUGAAUCACCAAAGGCCAAAGCUACAAGAGUUCCAGGCUAUUUCAGGACAGUCUCCAAACAUACCAGGAUCAUAAGGUGCCACUACCUUGAGCUCCACCCACCUCAGCAUCAUACAAAGGUCAUGAGGAGGUAAUUCUCUUUUCAGUAAGGGAAGCAAUCUUGUUCUGGUGGGUGGAAAUGCUUACUUCUCUAGAGAGUUAGUAUAAACGUGGCCACUGAAGUCUCUGCGAGCUUCAGCUUCACCAGUACCACGGGUUGGGCAGAGUGGCACAUUAGUUGCUGUCAGAAGUGUUGGAACUGCCCCGAGGUGAUCCUAUAGGAUGUUUUCUAUACCCAAAUAGUGGCCUGUAGGGUAGUAGAGCCCAGCUGAAGACUACCCAGAGUAAGGACAGAAGUGGGGUAAAUGCAUGAUCUAGGAACAAGGUACAGUGAUUUCAUGAAAACCCUCUAAGGAAUGGGAGACUCUGCUCAUGCUUUUACAUUCAAUUAAAGUCUUUUCAGUUAAAUUCUUGUAAUUUAUUUAUAUUUUAUUGAUAUUUAAGUUAGUAGAAAUUUUGAAAUAUGUUGAUAAUGCUUUUAUUGCUAGGAUACUGCAUACCAGGAAACGUGAUCAUCUAUCCAUCAUCCACACACCCACCCAUUUUUUUCAUCAUCCACUGAUACAACAUACAUAUAAUAUACCAUUCAAAUCAUAUGUAUCAUAUAUAUAACAUGUGAAUAAAUUUAUGCUAUAUACAACUGUUUUCCAUCCCCAUCAUCCUUAGGAACUUCUCUUGUCAAUGUUAUCAAACUUCCAUGUGUCACUACCUCCCAUGAGCAGUUUCUGUGCUCAUUUUGAUGACCUGGAAGCAGCAUGUGACAUAGCCAGCCACUUUCUUCUUACAAUACUUCCUUCACUUGCCUUCUAGCUGAUAUUCUCUCUUGGCUCAUCUCCACCCCAAGGUGUUGUUCUCAACAUCUUUCCUGGCCUGCCUUUUCACUGAGCUGCUCUCUGAAGGUACGGUCCCUGGGACCUCAUUCUCUAGCCACUUGCUCAAAACAAGCUACAUGCUGGACUCCCAAAUACAGAGCUGCAGUCCUAACAUCCACCAUGAACUUCACAUCCAGUAUCUAAACUCAUGGGUACCCUAUCCUGGAGGUCCUACCCAGCUCCCCCAAAGCUGACUCCUGGUCUUCCUUCAAGUCUGUGUCUCCUAUAGCCUCCCCAGCUUGCUCCAGUAUCACUUUCUUUCCAUUUUCAUAUCCCCAAACCAAAACCAUGUUCAUUUUUUACUCCUCUCUUUCUCUCAAAACCUAAAUACGAUACAUCAGCAAUUUCUGCAGUUCAUGUUCAAAAGAUGUUCAGAUUCUCACCACUUCUCAUCCCUCCAUUAUCAAAGGGUCUGAGGCACCAUCAUCACUCACCUGGACAAACGCAGAAGCCUGUUGCUGGGUCCCCUGCUCCCUCACAUGUAGUAAUCAAGUAGCAGCCAGAUGAAGUGUCUAAUUCAGAACCACCCAAAUCCUACUUAAAAUCAAAGCCUUGCAGUCAUCAACAAGCCUCCACCAAGGGAAGAAAAUCUCUCUGACCUCAUGUCACCAUCUCACUCUGGCUUUCCUUCCCUCUCCUCCCUCACACUUGCCAGGUAUUGCCCUGUCCUCAGCACUUCACACAUGCUAUUCCCUCUGCCUGGAUCUCUCAUCCCUGAUCUGUUAGCACAGUCCACUCUCCCAGGCCCCUACUCUCUCCUUCAACGUACCUCCUACUGAGGGCUUUCUCACCACUCAAGAUCAGGAGAGACCCUGUCCCUUGGUGUCACCAACCACACAACCACAGUGUUUCUUCAGAGUACUG